UGCGGGUGUGGCGGAAUUGGCAGACGCGCUAGAUUUAGGUUCUAGUGUUUUCGGACGUGUGGGUUCAAGUCCCACCACCCGUAUUGC
rnacentral:tRNA from 1 species